rnacentral:lncRNA from 1 species
UGUAGAGACAGAGUCUUCCUAUGUUGCCCAGGCUGGACUCAAACUCCUGGCCUUAAGGUGUCCUCUUGCCUCAGCCUCCCAAAGUGCUGAGAUUACAGGUGUGAGCCACCGUGUCUGGCCAUACAUACAUACGUUCACGAGACACCCGAAACUGCUUAUUUUAUGGCAGCCUAACCACAUCACACCCAGCAUCUCACUUGAGACAAAUCUGUCGUCUGAGCAUAUUGAAGCCUUGCUGUGACUCGACUGGUUGAAGGACUUGCGAAAUUGCACGGUUCUGAAGAGACAACCCGAGGAACGAGGAUCCAGCAAGAAAUCCCCCCAAACUUGAUGGAAUUCUUUCUCCACCACUGCUGCAAGAGGACCAGAUCUCCCUCUGCCAACAGAUGGGGCGGGGUAACACUGGAAAUAUGUUACAGGCCAGGUUCAGAUGCCACAAGAGUAGCCUCAAGAUUUUGCACAUAACUUCGGAAGAAACCCCAGCAUAAUAGAAAGGUCUUCUCAAGAAUUUUUCUGGAUUUACUGUGCAACUUCCCUGGUCCCUUACUUUUCUUGCCACUUUUGUUAUUACCCCUCACAAGUGUAGCCUCGUGUUUGCUUUUAUUUGAUUUGCAAUUCUCUGUCUUAUAAAGAUUGUCCCGGUUCUUAAUUUCGUGUUUCCCAAAAAUCUACCUAUUGCGUCCAUUGUGGCAUUCCUGGCACCUAGAACAAUAUUUGCCUCAUAGGACAUGCAUCUAUUUGACCUUGCCUUACGUACAUCCUGUUCUCUUCUUCACUUUUGUCUCAGGUCCAACAGUUGAAACUAUGCAUUCCAAGUAGAAUCUGGUUGGAAUAAAAGGAUCUGAACCAGCUUUAAUCAUCAAAGGAAAAAUAUGCUGUUUAUAAUAUUGAAAUAAAAAUAGGGAAGAUUUCAAUUCUUUGGGAUAAUUACCCAGAAGUGGAAUUGCUGGAUCAUAUGGUAAUUGUAUUUUUAAUUGAGAAACCUCCAUACUGUUGUCCACAGCAUUAUACUAUAUUGCACUCCCAUCGGUGGUGUGCAAAGAUUCCAAUUUCUCCAUAUCUGCAUUAACACUUGUCUUUUUUUUAAAUCACUGUUGUUUUGAUUUGUAGUUCUUUGAUGACUAGGGGCAUUGGGCAUUUUUUCAUAUACCUGAUGGUCAUUUGUAUGUCUUCAUUGGAAAAAUGUCUUUUCAAGUCCUUAAUCCAGUUUUUAAUCAGGUCAUUCAUUUUUUUUUCUUUUUCUAUUGCCUUGUAGGAGAGCCUUCUAAAUAUUGGAGAUGACCCUUUAUCAGAUAUAUGUGUUUCAAAUAUUUUUUCCCAUUCCAUUGGUUGUCUUUUCACUCUGCCAAUUGUUUCCUUUGCUAUGCAUAAGCUUUUUAGUUUGAUAUAGUACCAUUUGUUUAUUUUGUUUUUGUUACCAGAAUUAAAAUCAGGAUCCAAAGAGAUAUUGACAUUCUCAUGUCUGUUGCAGCGCUAUUAAUAACCAAGAUGUAGAAACAACUAAAGGUCCAUCCACAAAUGAAUAGAUAGAGAAAAUGUGGUGCACACAUACAAUGGAAUGCUAGUCAGCCUUUACAAAGGAGUAAAUUCUGCAAUAUGUCACAACAUGAAUGAACUUUGAGGACGUUAUGUUAAAUGGAAUAAGCCAGUCACAGAAAGAUGAAUACUGCAGGGUUCCAAUUACAUGAGGUAUCUCGAACAGUCAAAUUUAUAGGAUCAAACAGUGGAAUGGUGGUUGUCAGGGCAGGGGAAAGGGAAAAUAGAGUUACCAAUCAGUUAAGCAAGAUGAAUAAGCUUCAGAGAUCAGCUACACAACACUGUCUUUAUAAUCAACAAUAAUAUGCUAUACACUUAAAAUUUGUUAACAGGGUAGAACUUAUUUAUGUUAUGUGUUCUUACCACAAGAAAAUAAAACUUUUUUUUUCUUUUGAGAUGGAGUCUCACUCAGUCGCCCAGGCUGGAGUGCAGUGGUGCAAUCUUGGCUCACUGCAACCUCUACCUCCCAGGUUCAAGCGAUUCUCACGCCUCAGCCUCCCAAGUAGCUGGUACUACAGGCAGGUACCACCACACCUAGCUAAUUUUUUGCAUUUUUAGUAGAGGUGGGGUUUCACCGUGUUAGCCAGGAUGGUCUCAAUCUCCUGACCUUGUGAUCCACCAACCUCGGCCUCCCAAAGUGCUGGGAUUACAGGCGUAAGCCACUGUGCCCAGCCAAAACUUUUUAGAAAGUAUGAAAAAUCACACUUUUGUAAAGUGCGGGAAAAUCUUUUGUUAAGAAAAUAUGGCUAAGGGGAUAAAUGAUGUUUGCAAUUGUGUACAAUGCUCUAGGAGUUGAAGUUUGCGAAGAAACCAAUUUUUUCAAAUAAGCAUUUAAUUUAUUCAUUCAAUAAUUCUAAUUAUGUACCUGGCCGUGUUUUAAGUAUUAGAUGCAGGAAUGAAAUGACAGAUUAAGUAUCUUUAUUGCAUCAUGUAUUUAAAAGGUGGGAGACAGAAAAUAAAGAUGUAAACAAAUACAUAUGGCCAUUUCUCAUGUUAGUAAUUGCUAUGAUGUGAUUAAAGCUCAGUAGUUGGAUAGAGUGUUUCUAAAGGAGGAGUGGUCAGGAAAGGCUUCUAUGAGGACCGAGUGAAGAGAAGCAGAGAGUCAAGUGCAAACCGAGGGGAGAUUAUUCCAGGUACAGAAAUGAGUAAGUGCAAAGGCACAGUGAGCUCAGCAGGUCCUCGGGACAGGAACCGGGAAGAAGUGAUGGGGGCAGACAGAGGCACAAAGCAGGCCAAGGUCUGGCAGAUGGCACAGGGAAUGUUUUUAUUCUAACUUCACAAAGAAGUCGUUAGAAGGUAAAAACCUUUCUCCACUCUAAGUGGAGGGUGAAGCUCUAAUCUGCUUUUAAAGAUCAGGGAAGUUGCUGUUGAAAAGAUUUAGUGGGCUCUAUUAGUAACACAAAGUCUAGGCUUGAUACUCUGAGAUUCCGAAACAGAUAUCCAGUUGUGUAAGAGUUAUGAUGAAUAAGAGAGAAACUUAUUUAUGUUACAUUUUAAAAAUUCACACCAAAAUAAAAGACAACUUAGAAAACACGGAUAGUAGACUUAACAGGAACUCCAAUUAAUGAAUAUUUAAAUAGCCAAUGAAUAUAUUAAAAUAUGCUGCUAAUAUAAAUAUGCUGACUAAUGUCAUUGGUCAACAAGGGAAUGCCCAUUAAAAAUCACAGUCAAUUCCACUUCGUCCCUACCAGAACUGCUAAAAGCAAACUAAUCCACAGCAGUAAAAAUCCUCUUUAAGUAUGUGGAGCAACUAGAACUGUCACAGACUGCUGGUGGGGCUGAAGCCGCUCGAGAAGUCUGCUUGGUACUAUCUGCCAAAGGGGUGCUGGGCUGGCUGACCAGCUUGCGAGAUGCACCACUGGUUGCUUGAAAUUGGCAAAGGUGAAAAGAUUUGCACCUCAGAAAUUGGCAAGUGCUGUAAAUCAGAGUGCUUUUUCUUCUUUUUUCUCAGACUCUGGUUGUUAAACACCAUCAGCAUCCAGCAUCCUCAUACUCCUAGCUGGGUCAUCUAUGAUCCAGGCAUUUCUAUCUUUGGUAAAGUAUGGAAUAUUCAUAAAAUGGAAUAUCAUACAGCAAUGAGAAUAAAGUAAUAACAGGCAGCAUCAUGGCUGGGUCUCAGAAACGUAAUGCUGGGGCACAAUAAGCCAGAAAUGAAGGGCUUAUAAUUGUGUGAAGUUCAAAGUUAGCCUAAACAAACCUGUAGUUUAGGCUAACCACAGAAGUGUGGUAUUAUAAAUCGGAAUAGGUGAAAUGCUCCCUGGGGAGAUGGUAGUGACUGGUAGGAGGGAUGAGUUCUGACAGUGCUGUCUUCCUGGAUAUGUGUGCUGGUUGCAUAGGUGUGCUCAAUUCGUAAAAAUUUACAAAACUGUGCUCUUAGGCUUUGGACAGUUUUUCUAUGUAUGUAUGUUACACUUUAAUAAAACAGUAAAUAUUCGCCAAUCAAUAGAUAGUAAAUUUUAUUCAUUCAGAAGAGAGUAAUUU